rnacentral:tRNA from 2 species
GCCGGUUUAGCUCAGCUGGUAGAGCAACCGCCUUGUAAGCGGUAGGUCGCGUGUUCGAUUCACGCAACCGGCACCA